AUACUACGGGAGUGACCUGCAUUACAGAAAGGCCAUAGGACAAGCUGGAAACGCCUGAGCGGACGAGAGUGAAAUCAUUUUUGCCACGAUCAUUCACAGUUUUGUGGAAGUUACCUGUGGCACUGAUGUUUAGGCUGAGGUAUGUAUAGUUUUUUUGUGUGCUCUAUAGCAACGGUGUCUAGAUGGAAUUUGUAUUUGUGGCCCUGGCAACUGAGAUUUACUGUCAGGGCCUAGGUCUGACAUAAUCUGUGCAGAAGAUCAAGGUUCUGCUGUAGAUCAUCCUUGGUUGGGGACAGAAUCACCAGAUCAUCAGCAAACAGUAGACAUUUGACUUCAGAUUCUAGUGUUCUAGUGCCCUCGCCAAUUCAUUGAUAUAAAUGUUGAAGAGGGUGGGGCUUAAGCUGCAUCCCUGUCUCACCCUACUGCCCUGUGGAAAGAAAUGUGUGUGUUUUUUGCCAAUUUUAAUUGCACAUUUGUUUUUUGUAUACAUGGAUUUUAUAAUGUUGUAUGUUUUUCCCCCAACACCACUUUCAAUCAAUUUGUAUAGCAGACCCUCAUGCCAAAUUGAGUCAAAAGUUUUUUUGAAAUCAACAAAGCAUGAGAAGACUUUACCUUUGUUUUGGUUUGUUUGUUGGUCAAUUAGGGGUGGCAGGGUAGCCUAGUGGUUAGAGUGUUGGAGCUGACAAGGUACAAAUCUGUUUUUCUGCCCCUGAACAGGCAGUUAACCCAGUGUUCCUAGGCCGUCAUUGAAAAUAAGAAUGUGUUCUUAACUGACUUGCCUAGUUAAAUAAAGGUAAAAUAAAUAAACAAAGGGUGUGCAGGGUGAAUACGUGGUCUGUCGUACGGUAAUUUGGUAAAAGCCAAUUUGACAUUUGCUCAGUACAUUGUUUUUUACUGAGGAAAUGUACACGUCUGCUGUUAAUGAUAAUGCAGAGGAUUUCACUGAGGUUGCUGUUGACGUGUAUCCCACGGUAGUUAUUGGGGUCAAAUUGGCCUCCACUUUUGUGGAUUGGGAUGAUCAGUCCUUGGUUCCAAAUAUUGAGGAAGAUGCCAGAGCUAAGGAUGAUGUUAAAGAGUUUAAGUAUAGCAAAUUGGAAUUUGCAGUCUGUAUAUUUGAUCAUUUCAUUAAGGACACGAUCAAGACCACAGGCCUUUUGAGGUUGAAGGGUUUGUAUUUUGUCCUGUAGUUAAUUCAAUGUAAUUGGAGAAUCAAUUGGGUUCUGGUAGUCUUUAAUAGUUUAUUGUAAUAUUUGUAUUUGAUCAUGUAUAUAUUUUUGCUGUUUGUUCUUUGUUAUAGGGCCAAAUUGUAUAAUGAUAUUCUAAUGCCGCGGGAGAGGAUGGCUGCCGUUUUACAGGCUCCUAACCAACAGUGAUAUUUAGUUUGUUUUUUGCAUUGUUUGUAACGUAUUUGUACAUAAUGUUGCUGCUACCAUCUCUUGUGACCGAAAAGAGCUUCUGGAUAUCAGAACAGCGAUUACUCACCUUGAAUUGGAUGAAGAAUUUUUCUUUAAUGAGUCGGACGAGAGGGAUUUACUCCAGACACCCGAACGGGCCCUCCUCCACGUCAUUCGCAGGAGAAAGAGACUGAGAUUUCACGGAAGGAGAUCGGGGUGCAACGAGUGGCUUAUCUGCCUUUGCCAUCCGUAUUAUUAGCCAACAUACAAUCGCCGGAAAAUAAAUGGGACGACUAUAAACACAUAUAUCCUACCAACGGGACAUUAAAAAACCGGUAAUAUAUUAUGUUUUCACAGAGUCUUGGCUGAACGACGACAUGAAUAACAUACAGCUGGCGGGUAAUACACUCUAUCGGCAGGAUAGAUCAGCAGCCUCUGGUAACACAAAGGGUGGCAGUCUAUGCAUAUUUGUAAACAACAGCUGGUGCAGGAAGUCUCAAGGUUUUGCUCGCCUGAGGUAGAGUAUCUCAUGGUAAGAUGUAGACCACACUAUCUACCUAGAGAGUUUAUCUGUAUUUUUCGUAACUGUCUACAUACCACCACAGACCAACGCUGGCACUAAGAGCGCACUCAAUGAGCUGUAUACCACCAUAAGCAAACAGGAAAACAUUCAUCCAGUGGUGCUCCUAGUGCAUCGAUGACGUCGUCCCCACAGUGACUGUACGUACAUACCCCAACCAGAAGCCAUGGAUUACAGGCAACAUCUGUCCUGAGCGAAAGGGUAGAGCCGCCGCUUUCAAGGAGCGGGACUCUAACCCCGGAAGCUUAUAAGAAAUCCCUUAUGCCCUCCGACGAACCAUUAAACAGGCAAAGCGUCAAUACAGGACUAAGAUCGAAUCGUACAGCUUCGAUGCUAGUUGGAUGUGGUAGUGCUUGCAAACUAUUACAGACUACAAAGGGAAGCACAGCUGAGAGCUGCCCAGUGACACGAGCCUACCAGACGAGCUAAAUAACGUCUAUGCUCGCUUCGAGGUAAGUAACACUGAAAUAUUCAUGAGAACAUCAGCUGUUCCGGAAGACUGUGUGAUCACGCUCUCCACAGCCGAUGUGAGUAAGACUUUUAAACAGGUCAACAUUCACAAGGCCGCAGGGCCAGAAGGAUUAUCGGGACGUGUACUCCGAGGAUGCACUGACCAACUGGCAAGAGUCUUCACUGACAUUUUCAACCUUUCUCUGUCUGAGUCUGUAAUACCAACAUGUUUCAAGCAGACCACCAUAAUCCCUGUGACCAUGAACACUAAGGUAAAAUGCUUAAAUGACUACCAACCCGUUGUGCUCACAUCUGUAGCCAUGAAGUGCUUUGAAAGGCUAGUCAUGGCUCACAUCAACACCAUUAUCCCAGAAACCCUAGACCCAUUCCAAUUUGCAUACCGCCCAAACAGAUCCACAGAUGACACAAUCUUUAUUCAACUCCACAAUACCCUUUCACACCUGAACAAAAGGAACACCAAUGUGAUAAUGUUAUUCAUUGACUACAGCUCAGCAUUCAACACCAUAGUGCCCUCAAAGCUCAUCACCAAGCUAAGAUCCUGGACUUCCUAACGGGCCUCCCCCUGGUGGUAAGGGUAGGUAACCACACAUACGCCACACUGAUCCUCAACAUGGGGGCCCCUCAGGUGUGUGCUCAGUCCCCUCCUGUGCUCCCUAUUCACUCAUGACUGCACGCCCAGGCACGACUCCAACACCAUCAUUAAGUUUGCCAAUGACACAACAGGCCUGAUCACUGACAACGACGAGACAGCCUAUAGGGAGGAGGUCAGAGAUCUGACCGUGUGGUGCAAGGACAACAACCUCCCUCAACGUGAUCAAGACUAAGGAGAUGAUUGUGGACUACAGGAAAAGGAGGCCCGAGCACGCACCCAUUCUCAUUGAUGGAGCUGUUGAGAGUUUCAAGUUUCUUGGCAUCCACAUCACCAACAAACUAACAUGGUUCAAGCACACCAGGACAGUCAUGAAAAGGGCACAACAAAGCCUAUUCCCCCUCACAAGACUGAAAAUAUUUGCCAUGAGUCCUCAGAUCCUCAAAAGGUUCUACAGCUGCACCAUCGAGAGCAUCCUGACGGGUUUGAUCACUGCCUGGUAUGGCAACUGCUCAGUCUCCGACCGCAAGGCACUACAGAGGGUGGUACGUGCGGCCCAGUGCUUCACCGGGGCCAAGCUUCCUGCCAUCCAGGACCUCUAUACCAGGCGGUGUCAGAGGAAGGCCCUAAAAAUUGUCAAAGACUCCAGCCACCCUGGUCAUCGACUGUUCUCUCUGCUACCGCAUGGCAAGCGGUACCGGAGCACCAAGUCUAGGUCCAAGAGGCUUCUAAACACCCCGAAGCCAUAAAACUCCUGAACAUCUAAUCAAAUGGCUACCCGGACUAUUUGCACCCCCCCCCCCCCCCCUUCUUCGCUGCUGCUACUCUCUGUUAUUAUCUAAUCAUCGUCACUUUAAUAACUCUACCUACAUGUACAUAUUACCUCAAUUACCUCGACUAACCAGUGCCCCGACACAUUGACUGUUUACCGGUACCCCCUGUAUAAAGCCUCGCUAUUAUCUUACUCCUGCUCUGUAAUUAUUUCUUACUUUUAUUUCUUACUUUUUUUAGAUAUUUUCUUGAAACUUCAUUGUUAGUUAAGGGCUUGUAAGUCAGCAUUUCACUGUAAGGUCUACACCUGUGACAAAUAAAAUUUGAUUUGAUUUGAAAAAGAUUGGAGAAGUGGUUUACCCAUACAUCUCCAUUUUGGAUAGAUAA